UACGUAGGGGGCAAGCGUUGUCCGGAAUCAUUGGGCGUAAAGCGCGUGUAGGCGGCCCGAUAAGUCCGCUGUGAAAGUCCAGGGCUCAACCCUGGAAUGCCGGUGGAUACUGUCGGGCUCGAGUCCGGAAGAGGCGAGUGGAAUUCCUGGUGUAGCGGUGAAAUGCGCAGAUAUCGGGAAGAACACCCGUGGCGAAGGCGGCUCUCUGGGACGGUACUGACGCUGAGACGCGAAAGCGUGGGGAGCGAACAGG
rnacentral:rRNA from 1 species